UCUGCCCCUAGAGGCGUUGCAGGUGGGGCUGAUGUGUCACAUAUGCAUCAGUAGGUGGCAGAGAGGAGAGAAGAGAUGUCUAAGCUUAGCAUUCUCACUUGUAAACAUCUGAAUGAUUAGUACCUAACACU